AUUGAACGCUGGCGGCAGGCUUAACACAUGCAAGUCGAGCGGGGAAGGGUAGCUUGCUACCUGACCUAGCGGCGGACGGGUGAGUAAUGCUUAGGAGUCUGCCUAUUAGUGGGGGACAACAUUCCGAAAGGAAUGCUAAUACCGCAUACGCCCUACGGGGGAAAGCAGGGGAUCUUCGGACCUUGCGCUAAUAGAUGAGCCUAAGUCAGAUUAGCUAGUUGGUGGGGUAAAGGCCUACCAAGGCGACGAUCUGUAGCGGGUCUGAGAGGAUGAUCCGCCACACUGGGGCUGAGACACGGCCCAGACUCCUACGGGAGGCAGCAGUGGGGAAUAUUGGACAAUGGGCGAAAGCCUGAUCCAGCCAUGCCGCGUGUGUGAAGAAGGCCUUUUGGUUGUAAAGCACUUUAAGCGAGGAGGAGGCUGCCGAGAUUAAUACUCUUGGAUAGUGGACGUUACUCGCAGAAUAAGCACCGGCUAACUCUGUGCCAGCAGCCGCGGUAAUACAGAGGGUGCGAGCGUUAAUCGGAUUUACUGGGCGUAAAGCGUGCGUAGGCGGCUUUUUAAGUCGGAUGUGAAAUCCCUGAGCUUAGCUUANGAAUUGCAUUCGAUACUGGGAAGCUAGAG
rnacentral:rRNA from 1 species